rnacentral:lncRNA from 1 species
CGAGGACUGCGCGAGUUGCGCAUCCUGGCUCUGGCAAUUAAACAAGCUGGAGCGCUUGCCCGACGGCCUGUGUCGCCUGCCGCGCCUCACGCGCCUCUACCUGGGCGGCAACCGCCUGCUGGCGCUGCCCGCCGACUUCGCGCAGCUGCAGAGCCUGCGCUGCCUCUGGAUCGAGGGCAACUUCCUGCGGCGCUUCCCGCGGCCGCUGCUGCGCCUGGUGGCGCUGCAGUCGCUGCAGAUGGGCGACAACCGGCUGCGCGCGCUGCCCGCCGAGCUGCCGCGCAUGACGGGCUUGCGCGGCCUCUGGCUCUACGGCAACCGCUUCGAGGAGUUCCCGCCCGCGCUCCUGCGUAUGGGCCGCCUGCACAUCCUCGACCUCGACCGCAACCGCCUGGGCGGCUUCCCGGACCUGCACCCGCUGCGCGCGCUGCGCGUCUUCUCCUACGACCACAACCCGGUCACUGGGCCCCCGCGCGUCGCCGACACCGUGUUCCUGGUGGGCGAGGGCGCUGUAGAGCGCAUGGCCGAGCGCGACGAGCCCACGCCCCGGCAGCCACCCCGGCGCCCGGCGCGGGCCUUUGAGGACGAGGAGGAAGAAGACCUGCUCAUAGGGGGCGCCAGCUCGCGGGCCCUGGAAGCCCCGGCUCCGGGACUGGGCACCUGAGGCUGCUGUCUUGGCCAUCGAUGGGCUUGGCCACCCUGGAAGGAGGGCCUCUGGGUCCCUCUGGGUCUGUCGGGACGGCGAGGGCGGGCACUUUGGGCGAGCUGUGGGCACAGGCAGGCCUAGGGGGCAGCUUCAGACCCUCCCGGGUAGUAAGACUGCUACCUAGCCGAUCUCUGGACAGUCGUCGGAGCAAGAAGACUGGGCUCCACUCGCUCUGCAGUAGAACCACUGCCAACACAGCAGAGGUCCAGCUUCCUCCCGAGCCAGGGUCGUGGUGGUCUGUGGAAUGAUGGCCUCGCCUCGCCCUGAAUCCAGAUGCCCAGCGCGCCCACCACCCUCGCUCCUGGGGUUGGACCUCCUGGGCCCACCCUUUCUGGUGCAGGAGCUGCUACCUCCCAGCAUGUGCCUGGAAUCCUACUGGGCAAAGAGAGCUCUCCCUCCUUUCCCCACAGCCUGUGCCAUCAGCUGUCAAGUUUGAAAAGAAGCCACUGUGCCUCCAGGGCCUCCUGCUCAGAAGAGAGGGGCUCUGUGCUCCGGGAGGCCGCCCCAGCACCUCUCCCACUGCCUGCACUCUCCAUUCCCUUACAUGGGCACAGCCAGGGUGGCUGGCACGGGACGGGCACUGUGUGCCUCCGCUCCGUCACCAGGGACAGCCUCGAGGGGGUGAGGAGAGGGGCCCAGCUCUGCAGUCCCCAGGGCAAGAUCUUUCCCAUCCAAGCAAUAACGGGAGGAGGGGGCCAGGGCCGAGGACACUCAGGGACACUGUCGGGGCCGAGGCCCAACUCGCUAGUGUUUUCUUUAGGAAGAAAAAACAAACGGGCUGUAAGCAUAAAUUAUAUUUCUUGGAUAAAGAAUGUACGUUUCCCACACGCCUGUUUAUUUAUAAGCCUUGAGAGCACUGGGUCCCUGUGCAGUGGGAGUCCUGCUCUGUGGCAGGUCGCCCCUGGCCAAUGGCUGGAUUCGGCCACUCAAGGCUGGUCUCCCAGCUCGCCCCCUCCCUCAGUCUGGCUGCCAGAUCUUCUCUGGCUUAAUUCUCAGGGACCAGAAUCUUAG